rnacentral:tRNA from 1 species
AACAGAAUGCCUGACUAAAGGAUUAUUUUGAUAGAAUAAAUUAAGUAAUUUAUAUUACUUCUGUUA